rnacentral:rRNA from 1 species
GAUGAACGCUGACAGAAUGCUUAACACAUGCAAGUCGAUGGGGAAGUGGUGCUUGCACCAUGGCAACCAUGGCGGACGGGUGAGUAACGCGUAAGGGACUUACCUGCAGGACUGGGAUAACAGGGGGAAACUCCUGACAAGACCGGAUAAUGUCAUGGAGCUGCAUGGCUUUUUGAUGAAAGGAGACGCCUGCGGAGAGCCUUGCGUCCUAUUAGCUAGUUGGUGAGGUAAUGGCUCACCAAGGCGAAGAUAGGUAGCCGGCCUGAGAGGGUGGACGGCCACAAGGGGACUGAGAUACGGCCCUUACGCCUACGGGAGGCAGCAGUGGGGAAUAUUGGACAAUGGGGGCAACCCUGAUCCAGCAAUUCUGUGUGCACGAAGAAGGUUUUCGGAUUGUAAAGUGCUUUCAGCAGGGAAGAAGUAAGUGACGGUACCUGCAGAAGAAGCGACGGCUAAAUACGUG